rnacentral:ncRNA from 1 species
GGCUCGGGAGCAGACCGGUGGGACGGUCCGCAGGAAUUGAGCCCAGCACUUCUGUUUCGCAAGCGGCAGCACGUCCGAGGCCCGUCGGCACGCGCG